rnacentral:rRNA from 1 species
GACGAACCGUGCGAACGUUGUUCGGAAUCACUGGGCUUAAAGGGCGCGUAGGCGGCUUGCCAAGUCCGGGGUGAAAUCCUGCAGCUUAACUGUAGAAGGGCCUUGGAUACUGGCGAACUCGAGGGAGGUAGGGGUGCGUGGAACUUCUGGUGGAGCGGUGAAAUGCGUUGAUAUCAGAAGGAACGCCGGGGGCGAAAGCGACGCACUGGAUCUCUUCUGACGCUGAGGCGCGAAAGCUAGGGGAGCAAACGGG